rfam:Gossypium hirsutum cultivar TM-1 unplaced genomic scaffold scaffold876.1, whole genome shotgun sequence
AACCAAUGGUAAGGGCACCCUCGUAAAAGGUCCUUGUAUCUCUCCUAUGCAUCAUGGACUGUUUCUAAAUCCAUCUGUACAAAAGAGGAGAUAUCAUUACGUAAUUU